CUGGAGGACUAAGAAAGUGGAGCUAGUGACACUAUUGACUCCACUGAUACUAUCCUCCUAAAUUAAAUGGUGGAGGAACAAGGCCUGCCUGUGAGAGAAAGUCAGGGCCUACUUCGUCUACCUACAAGG
rnacentral:snoRNA from 1 species